UAAUAGGCGUGUCGACAGUAUUACAUUAUCAAAGAUUUAAUGACUUUAGAGGAAAAUACACAUUCAAAGGAUUUAAAAAACUGAUUUAGUUUUAUUUAAAAAAUUGAGAUUAUUAAGAUUUUCAAUAAAAUAAAAGAGUAAAAUACUGCAAUCGGCCAUUUUGACUGAAACGCCAAUCACAGCGCAUGACGUCAUACUUAUGUACGCUUCACUGUGUUUUGAUUACCUUACAUACUGAUUGCGCGUUACGAUUGAUAUAUAUUUGUUUUUGUGAUUUAUCGACUUUAUAACACGAAUCUAUCUUUAACAAUGGAACCAGGUUUUGUUAAGGUAAACAGUGCAAAUUUGCCCAGGAUCGAUUUAUUGAUGUUGGGCGAGUUCCUUGCAACAAAUAAAGAAUUUUGCUCUUCCGAAUUUAGAAACGUGAAAACCUCUUUAUCAUCAGACCAACGGGUUGGGGGGCGACCGACACGCCGUUUGCCGACACGGGGUCUCCACUCCAGAACCUUUGUACUCCAGCGGUCGUCGGCUCUGCGGGCUACGUGACUAGCUACGUUAUCUUUAACACUAGAUAUAAAUAUGACUAAGUAGCAAUCAAACUCGUUUUAAACUCGUAGAAGUUUAUUUCGCCGAAGAAGUUUGUUUCGUAGAAGUUUGUUUCGCCGUGCAAGCUUUAACCAUUUAUCUCUAAUUAUUUUCUUGUAUGGGACAUGUACAAACACCUUGUUGGGUGUCGUUAUUGAUGUAUUUUUGCACUGAGGCACUGCACACCACUUAUAAACUUUAUAAUUCAUUUUUAACACAAAAAAUACGCAGUGUUUGUUUACUUUGCUGUUGUAAACAAAUUUGACGUACGUAAGUGUGACGUCACACACGACGCCAUGACACGGCGAGCUGUUUUCGCGCAGUAUUUAAAAAUGAUUAUAAAAAUGGCUUUAAAUUUCCAAAAUCUUAAGUUUAUUACCGAAAUAUAGGUUUUGUUGUAAACAAUAGAUGGUUAUCUGCAUUACGGAAGAGGAUUUCAAAAUCUUUCGCCUUGCCUAUUGUCAU